rnacentral:lncRNA from 1 species
UAAAUUAUAUAUGCUAAACCCGAACACGACAUAAUCCAUGUAGACAACGAGCAGUCAACAGUAAUGUCACCUUGAUGAAGAGAAUUUGCACAAAGGAAGAAUAGCUUAAGAGUAAAUACUUGAUGAUCUACAAUUCUUUACUUGCUAUUUAAAAAAAAAAAAAAACUAAAUUAAUCUGUAAUAAAUAUAAAAUAUGGAAGGCUGUAACCUAUGGCAAAGUAGCCUGAGGCUAGAUUUCUUCAAAUACUGCCAUUGCAAGAACAAAAAGGUUGAAUAACAUUUUUGGGUCCGAUUGAAAACAAAGCAAACAAGAGAUAGAACCUUCCAUAAUCAGGAAUUCCACAUCCAGUGCUAAUUUCCGCUCCUGUCAAUACCGCAACCUUGGUGCUGCAACAUACAAAUAGCAGUCAAAUAUUUAACCCAUUGGAAUACAUUUACAUCCUUUAUUGUGUGGCUACAAUUACAACAGGAACAAUAUGCAAAGCCAAGGACAAGAAUAACCUGUACAAGCCCAUUUCGCCCCAAACCCAAAUAACUUAACAAAAUAACAAAACCCAAUAAUAAUAUAAAAAAACCUAUAGGCCCGAUUGGCCCAAAACCUAAACUUUUCAGCAGAAACCCUAGCCCCUGUUGCGCCGCACCUAACCUCUGCCACCACCUGCCACCGUCCCAUCGCCGCGCACCUGCUCACUGCUAUGCCACCAUCAGUCUCUGCAAAGUGAAAAGGAGCACGCAAAGCAGAAGAAAGCAGUAGCAAUGAGAGAUUUUCUUGGAUUUUUUUUUCGGCUAUAAAGCCGAAUGUGUUGUAAAAUGUAAAAGGGGGAUUUUCGGUGUAAAACCGAUUAAAAAACAAUUGUAAAAGAGAGGAUUUCAAGAAAUAAGAAGUAAAAAAAAAAACAGAUUCAAGGACUUUGCUUUCGGUAUAAGAUCUAUUCCUCUUUUAUUUAUUUAUUUAUUUUUCUUUAUUUUCCUUCUUUCUCAAACUGUUUAUAUACAUACAUAUAUUUCUUUAGUUUUUCUUUUUUUAACUAUUAUACAUAUAUAUUGAAAAAAGUUUAAAAAAAGAAAAAAAAAAGGGAAAAAAACGCACCUUUUCAACUUUCCGGCCACCGUGGACGGCGGCGCCGUCACCGGUGACCGGUGACCGGCGGCCGGCACGGCGGGGGUCGGCCCGUCCUCUGGCCGGAUUUUGGGCUGAGAAAGGGAAAGGGGAGAGAUUUUAAGAGAAGGAAAUUUUUUUUAAAAAAAGAGGGCUGAAAGUG